ACUCCUGCGGGAGGCAGCAGUGGGGAAUUUUGGACAAUGGGCGAAAGCCUGAUCCAGCAAUGCCGCGUGAGUGAAGAAGGCCUUCGGGUUGUAAAGCUCUUUUGUCAGGGAAGAAACGGUGAGAGCUAAUAUCUUUUGCUAAUGACGGUACCUGAAGAAUAAGCACCGGCUAACUACGUGCCAGCAGCCGCGGUAAUACGUAGGGUGCAAGCGUUAAUCGGAAUUACUGGGCGUAAAGCGUGCGCAGGCGGUUUUGUAAGUCUGAUGUGAAAUCCCCGGGCUCAACCUGGGAAUUGCAUUGGAGACUGCAAGGCUAGAAUCUGGCAGAGGGGGGUAGAAUUCCACGUGUAGCAGUGAAAUGCGUAGAUAUGUGGAGGAACACCGAUGGCGAAGGCAGCCCCCUGGGUCAAGAUUGACGCUCAUGCACGAAAGCGUGGGGAGCAAACAGGAUUAGAUACCCGGGUAGUCCC
rnacentral:rRNA from 1 species